rnacentral:rRNA from 2 species
GUUGUAUAGUUAAGUGACUAAGCGUACAAGGUGGAUGCCUUGGCAAUCAGAGGCGAAGAAGGACGUGCUAAUCUGCGAAAAGCUUGGAUGAGUCGAUAAGAGGCGUUUAAUCCAAGAUAUCCGAAUGGGGAAACCCAGUAGAUGAAGAAUCUACUAUCAACAAGUGAAUUCAUAGCUUGUUGAGGCAAACCGGGAGAACUGAAACAUCUAAGUACCCCGAGGAAAAGAAAUCAACCGAGAUUUCGUCAGUAGCGGCGAGCGAAAGCGAAAGAGCCAGUAAGUGAUAGCAGUAUAGUGAGGAGAAUGUGUUGGGAAGCACAAUCAAAGAGGGUGAUAAUCCCGUAUCUAAAAACCAUAUUGUGGUACUAAGCUAACGAGAAGUAGGGCGGGACACGUGAUAUCCUGUUUGAAGAAGGGGGGACCAUCCUCCAAGGCUAAAUACUCCUGAUUGACCGAUAGUGAACCAGUACUGUGAAGGAAAGGCGAAAAGAACCCCGGUGAGGGGAGUGAAAUAGAACCUGAAACCUUGUACGUACAAGCAGUGGGAGCCCCAUCACUUAAUCCGAUUGGAAGGUGAUGAAAAGCAACCGCAUUUAAACAAUGGUAAGAGGAGCGAAGCGAGUCAAACCACCCAAAAGAAGCAGUGGGAUUAAGUGAUGGGGUGACUGCGUACCUUUUGUAUAAUGGGUCAGCGACUUAUAUUUUGUAGCGAGGUUAACUGAAUAGGGGAGCCGAAGGGAAACCGAGUCUUAACUGGGCGAGUAGUUGCAAGGUAUAGACCCGAAACCCGGUGAUCUAGCCAUGGGCAGGUUGAAGGUUGGGUAACACUAACUGGAGGACCGAACCGACUAAUGUUGAAAAAUUAGCGGAUGACUUGUGGCUGGGGGUGAAAGGCCAAUCAAACCGGGAGAUAGCUGGUUCUCCCCGAAAUCUAUUUAGGUAGAGCCUUGAGGUGACACCUUUGGGGGUAGAGCACUGUUUCGGCUAGGGGGCCAUCCCGGCUUACCAACCCGAUGCAAACUACGAAUACCAAAGAGUGAUACUCAGGAGACACACGGCGGGUGCUAACGUCCGUCGUGGAGAGGGAAACAACCCAGACCGCCAGCUAAGGUCCCCAAGUCUAUAUUAAGUGGGAAACGAAGUGGGAAGGCUUAGACAGCUAGGAUGUUGGCUUAGAAGCAGCCAUCAUUUAAAGAAAGCGUAAUAGCUCACUAGUCGAGUCGGCCUGCGCGGAAGAUGUAACGGGGCUGAAAUAUAGCACCGAAGCUGCGGCAUCAG